CGCUAGAGGAAUGUGCAAGGACAGAAGGGAAACUGAGGAGACCCGCAACUCAUUAGCGAAAUAAUAGGGUGCACUUCAAUAAAAAUGCGGUCCUGAAGUGGAGCAGACUCACCGGCAAGGAGCCCGGAAAAUCGUCAGGGGCGGCGGCAAAAUACUAUCAAAUCAGCCUGGGAAGCAUCUUUUCGCUCAGCAAGUUCAAGAGAACAAAUAUGUUACAAUCCUUGCCUAUUCUUGCCUCCACUUCAUAAUGUCAUAAAAGCCACCUGGGGUGUCAUUUAUCAACCUCUCUCCAGCCCACUCUUCCAAAAUAACACUACAGUUUCCUACAUGUGUAUUUUUGCCAGGACUCCAAAGAGCCUUGCUAAAGUGGAACAAGCAAAAUCCUCCCCUGGCCUCCUGGGACUGCAGUCACCAGGCUGUCAAAGCCUCAAUACCCCACUGAGUUCCAGAGAAGGGUCUCAAAGCUGGGAGAGGAUCAAACUAACAUGGAGUAGAGAAUUGAACUGUGAAAAAGAAGCCCGAGAUUCCCCAGCGACGUGGUGUUGCAGCCCCGUUGAAGGAGUCAACUUGCAGGCUGUUAAAGACCUCAAGUCAUUAGCAUCAGCUGCUGCACUAAAGGGGCAAGUCAGCGCCU
rnacentral:lncRNA from 1 species